UUCUAAAAUGGCAGAUUAGUGCAAUGAAUUUAAGAUUCAUAAAUAAAAUAAUUGAUAUUUUUUUUAGA
rnacentral:tRNA from 1 species